GACAGAGGUGCCGAGCGUUAGGCGGAAUCACUGGGCUUAAAGCGUGUGUAGGCGGGCGGGCAAGUACCUUGUGAAAUCCCACGGCUCAACCGUGGAACGGCUGGGUAUACUGCCUGUCUUGAGCCAACUAGGGGCGAGCGGAACAGACGGUGGAGCGGUGAAAUGCGUAGAUAUUGGGAAGAACACCGGUGGCGCAAGCGGCUUGCUGGGCUGUAACUGACACUGAGGAACGAAAGCUAGGGGAGCAAAUGGG
rnacentral:rRNA from 1 species